UACGUAGGGUGCAAGCGUUGUCCGGAAUUAUUGGGCGUAAAGAGCUCGUAGGCGGUUUGUCGCGUCUGCUGUGAAAACCCGAGGCUCAACCUCGGGCCUGCAGUGGGUACGGGCAGACUAGAGUGCGGUAGGGGAGACUGGAAUUCCUGGUGUAGCGGUGAAAUGCGCAGAUAUCAGGAGGAACACCGGUGGCGAAGGGCGGGGUCUCUGGGGCCGUAACUGACGCUGAGGAGCGAAAGCGUGGGGAGCGAACAGGA
rnacentral:rRNA from 1 species